CCUGGUUGAUCCUGCCAGUAGUCAUAUGCUUGUCUCAAAGAUUAAGCCAUGCAUGUGUAAGUAUGAACUAUUUCGCAUCGUGAAACUGCGAAUGGCUCAUUAAAUCAGUUAUAGUUUGUUUGAUGGUACGUGCUACCGGAUAACCGUAGUAAUUCUAGAGCUAAUACGCGCAACAAACCCCCGACUUCCUGAAGGGAUGCAUUUAUUAGAUAAAAGGCUGACGUGGGCUUUGCCCGCUGCUCCGAUGAUUCAUGAUAACUCAACGGAUCGCACGGCCCUCGUGCGGCGACGAUCAUUCAAAUUUCUGCCCUAUCAACUUUCGAUGGUAGGAUAGGGGCCUACCAUGGUAGUGACGGGUGACGGAGCAUUAGGGUUCGAUUCCGGAGAGGAAGCCCGAGAAACGGCUACCACAUCCAAGGAAGGCAGCAGGCGCCAAAUUACCCAAUCGACACGGGGGAGGUAGUGAUAAUAAAUAACAAUACCGGGCUCUUCGAGUCUGGUAAUUGGAAUGAGUACAAUCUAAAUCCCUUAACGAGGAUCCAUUAGAGGGCAAGUCUGGUGCCAGCAGCCAUGGUAAUUCCAACUCCAAUAGCGUAUAUUUAAGUUGUUGCAGUUAAAAAGCUCGUAGUUGGACUUUGGGACGAGUCGGUCGGUCCGCCUCGCGGUGUGCACCGGUCGUCCCAUCCCUUCUGUCGGCGAUGCGUGCCUGGCCUUAACUGGCCGGGUCGUGCCUCCGGCACUGUUACUUUGAAGAAAUUAGAGUGCUCAAAGCAAGCCCACGCUCUGGAUACAUUAGCAUGGGAUUGUUGAAUCUCGGAUUUUGAUGAUAAAAUCAAUUGAUGGGUUAUUUGAUCUAAUCCAUAUUAUUGAGUUAAGUAUGCAGGAUUAACUACAAUAAACACAAAACACAAAGCAAGAAUACCAGAGUCGAGUUCGAUGAAUGUUUAAGAGUCCGAAGAAUCGUCGGAGAUGCUGCCGGAACCAACCGAGAAGAAAUCGGGAACCUGUUGGAAGUUCGCCGAAGAGAUCGUCGGAGGUUCGCAGAGAUCACCGAGAAGUCUCAGCUACUCAUUAAAGUCAUCACAAGUUCGGGAGCUUGGACCCCGUCGAAAGGAAGUUCGGCUUCCUCACGAACAAGACUUGACGUUCAUGGUUAAUAAAUUGCUUACGAUGUGUGUUUUGUUAUGUAGUUCACUUGUAAUUAGGAUUAGGAUUAAGAAGAUAAUCCUAUAUCCCAGUUAGGGGCCAACCAAAAGUCAAAGAUUUGGUUUGGGCUAAAAGAAAGCAAAACCAAGUGAACCGGAGAGCCAAGCCGGUGGCACCGCUUGGGCCGGGCGGAUGACACCUCUGGUCAGGGUGGCACCUCCCAAACCCGAAAGGCCAAGCGGUGGCACUGCUUGGUUUAUGGGUGGCACCGCCAAAGCAUCGGGAACCCAAAGAGAAUUUGAAUUUUGGAGCCCAAACUUUGGAGCCCAAAUUUGAGUCCUCUUGAGGCCUAUAA
rnacentral:rRNA from 1 species